rnacentral:rRNA from 1 species
GAUCCUGGCUCAGGAUGAACGCUGGCGGCGUGCUUAACACAUGCAAGUCGAACGAAGAUACUUAAAAUGAGAGCUUCGGCAGGUAUUUUUAUUUAUCUUAGUGGCGCACGGGUGAGUAACGCGUAUCCAACCUGCCCACCACUUGGGGAUAACCUUGCGAAAGUAAGACUAAUACCCAAUGAUAUCUCUAGAAGACAUCUGAAAGAGAUUAAAGAUUUAUCGGUGAUGGAGUGGGGAUGCG